rnacentral:rRNA from 1 species
GAUGAACGCUGGCGGCGUGCCUAAUACAUGCAAGUCGAGCGAACAGACGAGGAGCUUGCUCCUCUGACGUUAGCGGCGGACGGGUGAGUAACACGUGGAUAACCUACCUAUAAGACUGGGAUAACUUCGGGAAACCGGAGCUAAUACCGGAUAAUAUAUUGAACGGCAUGGUUCAAUAGUGAAACACGGUUUGGCUGUCACUUAGAGAUGGAUCCGCGCCGCAUUAGCUAGUUGGUAAGGUAACGGCUUACCAAGGCAACGAUGCGUAGCCGACCUGAGAGGGUGAUCGGCCACACUGGAACUGAGACACGGUCCAGACUCCUACGGGAGGCAGCAGUAGGGAAUCUUCCGCAAUGGGCGAAAGCCUGACGGAGCAACGCCGCGUGAGUGAUGAAGGUCUUCGGAUCGUAAAACUCUGUUAUUAGGGAAGAAAAAAUGUGUAAGUAACUAUGCACGUCUUGACGGUACCUAAUCAGAAAGCCACGGCUAACUACGUG